AGCAAGGUAGCGUUCGGGCUAGCUUCACACACGCCUCAAUUACUCUACCUCUUCAAGUGAGUCCAAAGGCAUGUUCUCACACUCAACCUAUGUAUUUAGGAAAUAUCUUUAGAGUGCUAGUUAUGAAAAUCAAACCCAGAAUGAUAGAUUUGAAAGAAAAUACAUGUGCCAAUUUAAAGGAAAAGCAUUGAUCACAUUGGAUAUGCUUAAAUUGCAAAAU
rnacentral:misc_RNA from 1 species